GUUGGGGGAGGGAGAAGAGGGAGGUGAAGGGGGACGCGAGCAGCGAGCGAGUCAGAGGCUGCGUUAUCCCAGUGCGGAGCUGCCGGAGCUGCGGCGCGGGGGAGGGGAAGGCGAGCGCAGGCCGCCUUGGCGCUGCCUGCGCCGGCCUCGCCGCUCUCCGGGGCCCGGCCCCGGGGCUCCGAGGGCUUCGGAGGCGGGAGGCCGGGGGGGCGGCCGGCAGCGCGGGGCCGGGCGGGCCGCGGCGGGCGCGGGAGCCCGGGGCUGCCCGGGCGAGGGGCGCUGCUCCCCGCUUCGCCUUCCCGCGCAGCCCGGCGGACGGGACCGAUCCUGUCGGAUUCCGGCGAACCUGUAAUGAAGGACAGGACGAUCUAGCUCCUUGUGUAGCUAACUAGGUCACUGUCAGCACUUAAUUACUGUUUGUUUCAUUUUAGUGCGUGCCUUAUGAAUAAACCGGCUAUUAGGCUGAUGCUUCAAGUAACACUAUCCAGCACCAAGGUACAAAAUGUCUGUAUUGGACUCUGAUCUUGUGAUGCCAGCUUGAUGAUAAUUACUGUUUUACAUUAACUAUGUCUUGGUUCUUACAGCUUGGUUAUUCAGCUUACAGCUGAAAUAGUUGGAGAUCCCCUAUGAUAAGGUUGUGAAGCUGAUACAAUAUUAUGCCACCGGGCUUGGUGUGGUGUUUGUUUUUUUUUUAUAUUGACAGGGGCACCCCCCUAUUUUGAGAUAGAAAAAGGGCUUGUGAAUUAAGUCUUGUUUUCUGAUUUAUCUGUUUUAAUAUGCAUGCAUUUUAAUGGUAUUCAAUAAAGGUGAUGACCUGUGCCUGGUGAAAGUGAUAAUUUUUAAAGGUACCAAAAUUACGCUGAUACUUAAGAAUUACAGAAUACCUCUUGUUGCAUAUUAAAGAAUCAAAGAUUAAAUGUAGGGGAAAAGGGGAAAAAUCUUGCCAUUUAGAAGAAGAUAAUCUUUUUAUUGAUCUCUGUGUAGGUACCUGUCAGUGCAAUUUGAAUUCAUUUAAAUUGUAAAAUAAAACCUAUUAUGUACUAUUAUAAAUUGCUUAUAAAAGUUAUCAUAUACAGUGGAUUUCGGUGUGUAAAUGUGUGCAUAACGGUGCAGAUGCAGUAACUGAAUUGUCCCUAUUCAGUAGUGGUUGGGUGUUUUUUUGGAGUUUGUGUUGGUUGCUUUUUUUAAGUAUAACUGUGCUAAGUGAAUCUUCUGUUCUAAUGGCUGUAUCCUGUGUUGCAGUUUCAAACUUUUUUCAUGGAAUCUUUAAUAUGAAAUUUUGUCCGUAUUACCUAUCUGCCAAACUCCUGCUAUCGUGAGAGCAGGCCACAAUUGCUCUUGUCAGUGUGCCACUAACUCUGCAUUUACUUUCUGGUGGGGUGAAAUAUUCUUGCUCAUUUCCAUUUUCAUUUCUGCUUGUGCUGCUCUUGAAUUGUGGCAACAUUACAUUUUGAUUAGAGUAACUAGUAUCGCUAGCUGUAUGCUACUUAUAUUAAACAGUAAACUCUAAAUCCUUAGAAACUGAAGUUAGUGUAUUUUAUUUCUGCGUAUGAGCCUGUGUGUAUGUAUGUGUUUUUAGAAGAUGCAGCCUAUUAGAUGGACUAGACAAUACAGUAAAUUCAGUUAAGACUGCAGACAGUAGCAUAUAAUAUAGGUACAGUCUGAAAAUAAACACGAAAGUUACAGGAUGAGUAUCUGUUGGAGGGGAAAGGGUCAGAAAGACAGUGGCAAAUUUUAGUGACAUUCAUAUCAACCAUUUUUAAUAAAAAAUGUUAAAGUGUUGGAUUUAACUGCCUGUGUUAAGCUAAAGACUUCACUUUUGCAUAGCUUGCUGUGACAAAUGUACGCUUCAACAAGGGGCAUUUACUCAGCAAGAUAUUAGUCCUGCACCUCCUUACUGAAUAUUUUAAAAUUCUUCGUUACAUUUUAGUGUUCUAGCUUCUUUUAAAGAUGCUGCUAGUUUGUAUAGACUGUAAGUGGCUAGUCUUCAGUGGUACAGUAUUAAAUCAUAAAUUAAAGGUCUUAUGCAUGAAAUUAAAUGCUGAGUAGUACAGCAAAGGUGGGAAAGCAGAUGUACAGUAUUACAGGAUACUUGUGCACACUUGUACAGGAUUUCCACCACAGUUAGUGGAACUCGGCUACCCCAGUAGGUUUGGCUUAGCUAUUCUUUAAAAAAACCCCACACUUUUAUGUUGAAAAGAACCAACUUCUUAAGUUGUUUAUUUCAGUGACUUACAGCACUUCCCUUCUAAAUCUAAUGUGUUGUGCGCCUUCCUCAUUUCAACUUUAUUUUUAUGGUAUUACUACUUGGGAAAUAAAAAAGGAAAAAUGGCCUACAUAAAUGUUGUUGUAAAUACUCAAGUAAAUUGAUGAAAUACUUUAAAAUGUUAUCUGUAAUUAGUGUAGCUUUCUAAUACUUGCUGUUCUUCACAAAGGUCCACCUUGUGGAAUCAAUGAAUUUUAUGAUCAUCUAAACUCUGAAUUAAAAACACUUUCAGAGUUGAGGGGUUUUCAGUUGUGCAAUGAAGUGUGAAACACAAAGCAGGAAAACCCUAAAUGCAACUGAAGGAGAAGUAAAAAUAAAUAUGUAAAUGCACUCCCACUUGAUUUCAAAACUGCGGUUCUUUUGAAAUCAUAAUUCUUUUGUGGGUCCUGACUUUGUGUCCUGAACACUUGAGGUUGGCCAUACUUCAACAGUAAGUUUAGAAAGAUUAUCAAAUUCAUGUCCUUUCCUUACAGGCAAAAAUACUUGCUGCAUUUCUUAAGGUUUCAUACUUCUAAUGCAGAUUAGGGCCUUAAUGGCGGCAAACAUUUUGAGGUUCUAAGAAGCAUUGGUCUGCAACACAGAAGUCACAGAUGUCCUGACAGCAAACGAGUGCAGUUGUUUUAAAAAGAAAAAAAUAUAUUGGCGCUUAGUAAGUUACCUGUCUCAAGCAUUACUUUGUCAUUGCCUCUUGUGUUUGUGUGAUCUGGUGGAUGGCACGCUUCCUCUGCCACUAUAGCUGUACAUGUUCCCUGAAGUAGCGCUAGUGUGAUUCAUGUUUCUGGUUGGAUGUGUGAAAGUUUGAUUGAGAUGCAAAACUGAGAGAGUUCUGAAUGUUAAAAAGGAACCAUGCUAAGAAAUAUGGAAAUGAUCAGGUUAAGCAUGGCUCAAACUUUAAGGCUUUUUGCUGAGGAAGAAUGCUGGUAUUACGCACAGGUGGGGAGGGUCUAGUUAACUUAAAGCAAAAUAAUCCUAGUAACUUCAACAUGUUAGAAGUCUAAGUGGUGAAAUGCUACUAGUAAGAGACUUCUCAGUAUUGCAGAUUUGCCGGCAAUAUUUGCUUGUCACGUAGCACUAUCUCAUCUUCAUAUUUUCACCAAUUCAAAUAGCCGUCAACGGUAGCUAAAAAUAUGUAGAAAUUUCUCUGAGUAAGCGGUUGCCUUAGUUAACUUUUAUAUAGGCAUAAAUGAAAAGGGAAGUAGUUUGUGCAACUGUGAACGUGUGGACAGACAGUACAUGUGACAAUUUAUGCAUUUCAAUAUAAUACAUGCUGCAGAAACUUUUCUGAAAACUUUAGUACAUGAAAGAAAUGCUGAUUAAAUAACAUUUAAACUAACUGAUUAUUGAAAUUGCCCAAGCAAAUCAAGCACUUAAAAGCAGUGAAAACACAUCAAUACCCACCGACGUACUUCUGAAGGAGCAAAUUUGUCGUUGUUUAAUUACAAUUCUCAGUCUGUCUGUUGGUGAUCUACUUAAUAUGGAUUUGGUCUUAUAGAGUGCAGAUAGAUGAGCAACAUUGCAGCGAAUGCUAUUGUGUUGCCCAGAUAAAAGGAAGUUUAUCUAUUUUCAAACUAACCGACAGAAAAUAAAAUCUCAGAUUUACUGCAUUAGUCUAAUGCUGAUGGGACACCUAAAUUGGAAUUCGCACUUAAAACAUUGGACUUUAAGCUGUUUAACUAGAGUAGUGUCUGACAUAGCUGAAAAAAAGCUAGUGAGAAACAGUUUUUGAGAUUGUUUACAUAUAAAGGACUAUCCAAUGUAGUCAAGUAUCGGUUCUGGUUACUUGCAGUAACAUUAUAGCAUUUGAAGCCCUUAGCGGAAUUUGUGACUGUUAAUCUCCAGAUAUUAUAAAAAUGUUUAUUAGGCUGAGCUGCAAACUAUUUCUGAAUUUUGAACCUUAACAUAAGAUCUGUCAUACCCAGAAUCUUGUUGCAAACAGAGGAUAACCGAAGUUGCUUAGGAAAGAGUAGAAAUAAUGUAUAUAUGCUCCUGUGUCUUCCAUCAGUUCUUGAUCUUGGGGCUUCCAGAGCUGCCAGGUUUGAGAGCUGCCAGCUGUUUGAGAGCGACUGAUGCAGAGUUGGGGUAGUGUCUGGUUAUGAGCUGAGAUGUACCUAACACUGUUUAGAGCAAGUAUAGUCCCCAAACCCCUUACCAAGAGGCAAAAGUACAGCCUGUGGAUGUUUGGGGUAGGAGUGUUAAAACAUGUUACGCAAACUGGUCUGCUUAGCCUUCUGCUUAUCUAGCUUGCGUGCAGAGUGGGGAAGCUGCAGGCCGGGGAAAGGUCUUUUCCCUCUAUGAGACUCCCUUGCGUGUGUUGAAGAACAGUACAGAACCUGGAAGAAUUUCUGUAGCCCUGCUGAAGAAGGGAAAAGAUGAAAGAAAAUGUGGGUUCAAGCAGUGGAGUGAGGAAAACCUGAUCAUUUUGGGUGGGGCAACCCCCUCUCUAGGGGGCUUCCAGCAGCGUCACAGGAAACUUCAACUUCAGAUAUAUAUAUCUCCUUAGAUGCAGUUACCAUACAGUUUGUUUUGAUCUUUUGCUGAUUCAGGAAUAUUUAGUACUGCAGCUAUUCACACUUGGUUUGUAAUCUUAAGGCUUUCUUUAUCAUUGUAUUUUAUUUCAAGUUUCUUGAACACAAACUUCUAGUGCCUUAAGUCACAUGCUGCACAGGGGACUGCUUGUAGUGAGUUCUCCAGUGUAAACAGCAGUGCCCUGAGUUUACAGUACUGUCUCUAGGAAUGAAGCUUCUCCCUGUCUCGUUUCAUCCUUCAUCAAGUUACUCAAGUGUUAAUUUACAAAGUCAAAAUAGAUAUUUUUUUUUACGCUACAAGUUCAGCUAGAUUUAUAAGACAAAAGUAAAGUAAGCCUGUCUGUGAAUUAAACCCUUAGAAUAUUGUGCUUGAUCUGUUACCUCUGUUUUAGUAAGUGUGGGCUCAUUCUUCACUUUGCUUUAGGAAAAUGAAAUAAUGUCAUAGUUUUUCCUUCAAGGGGCUGCCAAGUUAUUACAGAGCUGCCAUGGUGUUCCUUUGGAAUUAGUUGUGCUUAGCACUUAAGAAAAUGGAGUUGUGUGCCCUUAAUCCAGGUGUUGGUGUCAUGUUUGCAGUACUGUACAGAAAUCAUAGUACAUAUUUCAUAGUGCAAGUUUCCCCAUGUUGCUUAAGCAUUGUGCUAAGGAAUCCUCCUUUUGCCAAAAUAUGAUAAUGAAGCUUUCAAAGAUGUUUUUUAAGGAUCUUCUUUUAAAAGAAUUUGGAUAACUAGCUGCAAUCAAGUUCAUAUUGGGAUCAAUUUACUUAUUUAUAGAAGAAAAUAUAUAGGCAUUCACUUUUUUUUUGUCUGCCAUUCUUGACUUUAAAUAAAAAUCUAAUAGUUCGUCUGCAGCUGAACAUUAAAGUUACAUGUAAUUACAUACAACCAUUAACAUAUAAACAAAAAAUUAAGGUUGAAAAAUCCAGUGCUCAUUACUUAAGAGUCUUCCAUCUGUGUGACAUCAUGCAUGUGUGUUAUGAUAUUCCUUAAUUAUAUGAUCACUUCUUUUCAUGCAUGGUAUUCAGUUUGGGGUGGAUACUGCUUACUGAAUAAUAAUAAUAAAAAAGGUUAUGCCUUUGUAUCUGCAGGAUGUUUUAAUGUUUAUCUGUAUUCAGACUUACUUAUUUUUUUCAUACAGGCUUUUCUAGAGUGAUCAUUAGGCGAGUAUCUGAAUGCUCAUACUAAUGAGAUCCCAAAAUUCUGAGCUUGUGGCAUUAUCAUCACUGUAAUGCUGAGAAAGCUAAGGCAUGGAGGAAUUCAAUACAGGAAUGCUGCUAAUUUGGGGUGUGCUUUAUUUAAUUAAAGCACAGUUUCAAUAGAUAUAAUUUACAGGUUAUUUGAGAGUAGAGAGAGUUCAGCAGGAGUGCUACCCAGAACUUUAGAGCCGUGUUAAAUUCAGUCAUAGGCUUUUUUAUGAAUUUGUGUGUACAUGUUGUGGUCCUCUGCAUUGUUAGGGCUUUCCUUGUGCGAGAUUAUUGUGGUGCUCUGUUCUUUGAAACAUUUGCAGUGCUCAGAAGGUGCAGUCAAGAAGGCUGUACACGUACGGUAAAUACUGUUUGGUACUUCUGCAUUUAGUUUCCAGAGGCUUGAAUUUGGAACUCAGAAAACGAGAAGCACUUCAUUAGAGGACACCAGUUCGAUGCAAGAAACCCGCUGCUCAGUGUAAAUGCUUGAUAAAGACAGAAAUAGAAGUGGGAUAUACCCAACAGGAUGCAUUUGCUGUAGCCUCCCCACGUCACCCACUCCUCCUCUCCCUCCGAGGCUUGCCGCUGGCUCUCUCCGCUGGCCUGGGUGCCAGGAGGGGGAGCACGGAGCACAGUGAGCCCCAACCUUAACUGCAGUCCCCACCGCUGCCUCGGGUAGGAGUGACGGCAAGCACCAACCUGCAGCAUUGCUAGUGCCACAGAAUUUUCAGAAAAUCCGGCUUCUAGCUCUUUUUUUUUUUUUUUUUUUUAAUUAUUUCUUGCCGUGCAUUUGCAGCUUGAGAUUCAAAAGCGUAUUGCUUUAUCAUGAUGUUGAAUAGGAAAACUGCCCAAAAGGCAUGUCCCUGUUUCAAAGUCUACUCUCCCACUAAAUUUCAAAUUCUCUCUUCAAAGUAAAGGCCUUUUCAAGUACGUUAAGAGGGCUUUUUCUGUACUUGAGUAAAAACGGGAGUUUUUUCCUCUCCCAGUUUAAUACUUAGGUUCUUGCUGAAAAUUUCUUCUGAAAACAUCAGCUUGAGGCAGACACCUUGCCCGAAAAACUUCAUCCCAAGUAGUUUUAAGUUCAGAAAGAACUGCAUAUUUUUGGUUGUUUCUUCUUACAAGGUAUCUCAGAACCUGAAGUCCUGUUGAAAUUCAGUCCUGAAAACGUAUCCUAGUAGCUAUUUGGCUCUAUUUGCAUUUAUAGUCACUAUAUGCAGUGUAUCUGUAUGCUGGGUUCCAAUUCAGGAAGUCAGCUAUCCUGUAAUAUGCUCAGCUCAUGCCAGUGUAAUGCUAAUUACUCAUAAUAGCACUGUCCAAUACAGAGUCAGUGUAUGAAAGGAAGACAGCAAGUGCUGUACUUCCAAUUCAAGUAGUAAAACAUUCCUUGUGGUGAUUUUGGUGCUGCCUUCCUUAAAUGGGUUUAGGGCACUGAGUAGCUGAAGCAAUUGCCUUGUGGUAGGUACGUUAACUGAGCCUUGGGUAGUAUGUGAACUGUAGGUAGGCAGAGCUGUGAUCACCACACCACUGUUGUUACGGGAUCACAGUCCAAGACUGGAACAGUUUUGUCAGCUAGCUGGAUGUCUUGAGGGAAUUCCCAAAGGAUUACUUAGUUUGCUAAUCUCUGCUCACAGGGUCCUGGUGGCUUCAUUGCUAACAAAGGCUUGACCUAAUAAGUACUGCCUGCUUUUUUAGGUUUUUGGGUUUUGUUAUUUGUUUAAUUUUUAAGAGAGGACUGCCUAAUGAAUGGCUAGCGAGCAUAAUGUUAAGAGCUUUUUUGUCUUCAUUGUGGUAUUACUGGCUUCAGUUAGGUGUGAGAAUUAUAUAGAAGAGCUUUAUACAGCUGUUUGCUUUAUUUGUCCUUAACCUGUCCCCAUCCCAUCCUCACAGAAUGUUUGGGACGUGUCUUGUAGCAAUAUAAGUAGAACACAGAGUGCUACUCCAUAGUCACAUGCCUCUUAUUUGGGGACACCCCACCUACCCCCCUCCAAAACAAAACAAACAAACCCCCUAUGGUUGAGGGAGAGGGAAGGCUUUUUAUAUGAUCUUCAUAAACACAGUUACUGUAGAAUUGAGAGUUUUAUGGCUUGAAGUCAACAAUAUUCUAUUUUUAAAAGUCUUCAUUAAAUACUCCAUUAGGUAUGUGGAAGUUACACUGAGCAUUUGUUAUAAUGAAGGGUCUGCUUUUUUAUACUCUUCUAGUACCAGGGGAGAUGCAGAAAAGAAAACUUGCUUUUUGUCUGUUCUUGUUCUUUUCAAUGGCACAUUGCAGUUCCUAGGUACAGAAGUCAGUGAAUCUGACCUCUGCCUGCCUGCAAGCGAUUCAGUGCCAGCUGGAGAGAAACAGGCACUUUUCGAACAUAUCAUCGAAGCAGCUUCAGUAUUCUUCAACAUCUUUUCGUGGAAAGUGAGGGGAUUUUUUGAAGAAAAAAUCGGCAGGAUUUUAGAUGGCCUUUUAGGUAGCCCAGCAGAACUUCCCCUGCCUUGGUAGAUGACAAAACUCUACCACAAAACAUACGUUGUGCAGCUACUGGCUUUCUAAAAAGCUGUCAUGCGCACUUCAACACCACAGCUCUCCAGGUGUCUUGAAAAUGGGUUGUCGUGCCUGAUAAAGGAGUUCCUCUUAAGCUUCCCCUUUGUCCAGUGCUGCAGCGAAGUACUGCUCAUUGGAUGUUAGGCACAAAUUCAAAUAUUAGCAAAAGCAAAGCCACCAUAUUUUGUGCCAAACUUAUUUUAGGUUAAUCUGUUAUUGCCUUAGUAAAGCUUGCUGAUCUUAAAUGGGGAGUAGCAAUAAAUAUUAAACUCCACAACUGGGAUUUAAUGCAAAUGAAGUUAUAGGAAGUUUAACAUUUGGAAAGAAAGCAAUAAAUAGGCAGGUGCCUGAGCCUGGGUGUGGCAGGAGGAAAGACCACUGCUGGCCAGCUAUCUGGAAUGGCACAUUUUGAGUGUAACUAUCAAAUGCAGUACUGUACCAGCCUUGCCAAGCGCGCUGUUCUUUGAGCUGGUGCCCUCCACGUAUCAGUAAGAGAACAGGAGCUCUUCAAGUCACGGCUCCCGUAGCUUCUUCCAGGACCUGAACUCAAGUAUCUAAAAGGGGUUUGUGUCCAUAUGUAAGUGUGUUGGAACUGGAGUCCAGGAGUUGUGCGGUGUUUCCCAGAAGGUGUUGGUUCAUCUCUCAAAACCAGAGUGUUAGUAUUCUGUGUAAUGUCUUAUGGGUAAUGAAAGUAGUCAGGACUUAAGUACUGAUAAAUUUUUCUCUUUAUCAGUCUUCACUCCUGUCAAAAUUAAUUGGACAAAGCUGCUGCCAAUUCACUAGUCAAAGACAGUAGGUAAAAAUACCUGCAAAGAAACUUACCAGUUGCGUUCAUAUUCUGCAGCAGUGUUGCCAAUUAAUUUUGGUAAGGGUUUUCUACUUUAAAAUAUUUCAUAUGUAUCUCUAAAAAAUUACUUUUCAGCAUUUUUGUAGAGGUGGAAGAAGAACUAGAUUGCUAAUAUGAAAAUACUGUCCUUUGUCUGAAUAUAAGAAACAAGUUACAGUUUGGAUGUAAGUACAUUUAUAGUGUUUGAUUCCAGAAUUUAGCCAUCCUAAGCAUUCUUCUCAUAUUCUGUGAUGCACCACUUAGACAAGAAAUAAGGGGGUAUGGAGAGGAGAUGGGAGAAUUGCAAGGAGCUGAUACUUGGGUUCUUCCUUUGUGCAUCAAUCAUUUCAAAGUACACUGCAAUUUCUGUACAACUUAGCAGUGGUUUGCAUGUUGUUACAUUGUUUUAAAAACAUUUCAUACUUUGCAGUGGUUAUUUAACUUACAGACAUGAACAAUAAAGUUUUGUUGUUUGAACUUCUGCCUGCCUAAUUUUAAUGAAAGGAGAAGUAUGAGCUAUGCAAACAGAUUUUAUUGAAGUAUAAAACCAGAGCCAGCAAUUUACACAAUCUACAGAAAUGACAUGUCAUUACCACAAAGUAGCUACUACAGGAAGUAGCUCUUGAAUUGUGUGCCAGAUUUUGUGUUAAGACUCUGCUUACCCCAAUACAUAAAAUUAUUUGGGGACAAAAUAUUUCUUGUGCUUUAAGAGCCCCUUAAAUCUUCGGGGAAGGAAAAUCUAACAGACAACUCCUAGCUCUUUUAUUGGACAAGUUUUGAUGUAAAAGCUCAAAUCUCCUCAAGAUAUGGAAUAUAAUGUAACUUAGGAGGCAGCUGUUUCAUGGGAUCACUUCUGAGUCAUGAGCAUGUGUAUGCAUAGUGUCUGUAUCUCCUCUUGGCCAGUGUGGGUCUCAUGGUACUGUUUCAUUCUAGGAACAACUGAGAUUUUGGGCAAAUCCCUGAUGCUGAAAACCUGCAGGUCAGCAGGUGCAGACUUGCAUGGAAGUUGAACACAGUAUAUGGGCUCAUGAUGGCCCUGCUUUGGCUGGCUGGUUCUUCCUGGACAAGUACUGCCUGCACAGAGAAGACCACUGAAGACAAGGAUGUGUUGCCUUGGAUCUUGGAGCCCACUAUUGAGUGGUUACUACAACCAUGGAUACCACCUGUCUAUCCUGUCCCCAACCAGCUCUUCCUUGUCAGUGAACAGCAGAUGCUGGGGAUCAUUGCCCUGCUUGGUCCACACAGUACAUCUAUCAAGAAGUUCUCCUUUGUUCCAAAGUGAAGCAUUAGAAAUAGGAGUUAAAAUGAUAAAAAUAUGAGCAAGGUUUACAAGUUAACAUUCAGUAAACCAUCCUCUGUAUUUCAAGCCAUGUCUGAGUUUGAUCACAAUCCUAUUUUAUGUAUUAGGGGAAGAAAGAAAAAAAAAAGCAGGUUUUUAUGUCAAAGGAACAGAGUGGAAGGAAUAGAACAGAAGAAUGGACCAUUUUAAACUCUGGCUUACUGCAUGAGAUUUUCAGCUAUUGAAAGGUCAGAAAGAACCCCAGAAGAUCCAUGGAUUUUCUACUGGAAUGUGAGAACAACCAAUUAGGUCAAAUUACAUUUGUGUCACAUAAUACUGAAUCUAAUAGUGAUCAAUAUAGGAUGCCUAGGGUUUGAGUAUUAGAAAGAAAAGAAUACAGAUGAAGGAUGCUGUUGUGUGGAAUGCCAUCUGGUACCCCAGGACAUCUUCAGCAGUCAUUGGGUUUGGACUGUUGGGGCAGCAGAUUGCACCUAAACAGCCUUGGUAAUCCCAUGCUUUACAAACUCAUUUAACUUUCUUCAGAGCUCAUUUAUAACUUUGGUAUCAAUAAAUUACACAAUUAAAUUGUUUGUUAUGUUGGGAAAAGGCUUCCUUUUGUUUGGCUUAAACAUACAGCCGAGGCUGUCCCCUAGCUCCUGUGUAACAGGAAACAAUGGGAAACAGUGAACGAUUCCCCAUUCACCUUCUUUCCACUGUACAGAGUUCUCAUAGAUCACCGCCAAAGCAACUCUUGAGUGUUUUCUUUCCUGAUGAACUUCCCUUGGGAUACAUUUCCUAUGUCCAUUUGUCUCUUAUCCCCUUCCCAUGUGUCUCUCCCACAAACACCAGUUUGAGAGCUGUUUACAAAACAGUCCACAGAUUUCUUGGCAGACUCUUAAGCAAAACACAGUCUCUAGCCAAAGUCUGUGUUUUGGAAACUGUGUUUCUUUAGUAAGUAUAGUUUCAUUUUUAUUUGAUUAUCUCCAUUUGCUAAAUGUGGUUAGCUAGCAUUUUACAACAGCUAUAUUUCAUCAGUUGGAAAGAUAGGAGGGACUCUGUUGCUGCAUUUGGAAAUGGAGGUGGGAGAAAGAUGUCAGGAAUGGCCUUCACCAAGGUCUUUGAAGUUUUAUGUAUGCAGAAGGCUCCCCACAUCCUGUGUCUAGGCAACUGCCCUGUGGAGGUCAUCCCUGAUGCUCAGGAAUUCAGGUGGGAGGCUUUGGAGGAGGAAUUAGAGAUUGUCAGGGAGAGGCAGGACAGGUGCUUGAGUGUUUAGCCCCAGCACAAAGCACUUGCUGGCAUUUGCACCCUGGGCUGUGGGCAUCCUACUAGAGCAGUGCCCUGGUCACCGUCGUCGUGCUUGCCUUGUGCUCUCAGGAGAUGGGUUUGUGCCUUUAGUGUCACCACGCUUUGUCUCCACGUGCAACAUGGGGCAGGGAGCAGUACCUUUGCCAUGCCAGCAUCAGGACACAAGUCUUCCUCUGCAACGGGGCCCCUGCAGAGCAAAAGUCUGGCUUGAUAUAUUACCCUUGGUGCGGUCAGUGGGAUUUUGGGCAUUUUUUUCCUUGCCUUUAAUGACCUUAGGAGCAACAGUCAUAUAAAUCAGUGCCAGAAAAUUAUUUCUGGCCAUGAAGGUAGAAUUUCAGCACACAACAGAUGACAGCGGUGAUGAAGCAGCAUGUCACAGACCAACUCUCCCCAUAACUCCUUGCACUGGUGUGUGAGGCUUUACGAUUCAAUAUGUGGCACAGCACCUCCUUUCAUUCUUUUUCCUUAUGAAGUUGGUCAAGGUGCAUUUUACCCUUUUCUUAGCAAGCUAGGCCCACUAAUAAUUUUGAUUCUCAGGGGAGGACUUACUUUGGGGGCAACUCUUCUGGUCAUUCAGUUCACAGCAUUCAGUUCAGAGCCACGUGUGUUUGCCCUUACAAACCAAACCCCUUCCCCUGCCUUUCAUCCUUUCUCCCAUAAACACAAACCCCACCAACCAAAAACAUUAUUCUAAAUGUAGCUGGGACAGGACAAUGUCUUGUCUUUUUAUUACAGUGGCCAAUAAUGAUGAUCAAAAUUAAAAGAGGAAAGAAAAAGAGGAAAGGCUAUUGAUUCAUUCCUUGGUGACAUUUGGUUUUAGUCUAGGCUUUGGAAGACAUAGAGUAUUUUCCUCAAGACUAUCGCGUUUUAUGUCUACCUAAUUUAUUUCUCAGUUUUGAGUUUGAGCAGAAGUCUUGGCUGUCAGACACGUUUGUAGUUUGCGAAUGGAGAAAACUGAUAGGGAACUUCCUCAUAUAGCCCUUGAAUUUUCAGUUUAAAGAGUCAUACGCUGUUUUAGACUUUUUUCUAUGUAGUGUAGUAAAGUAAAUCAUCACUCAUGUUUUCUCUUCUACAAAUAAAGCCUUUUGUUUUCUAGCAGCUCUGUUGUUGUAGCACACCACGCAGUCAGAUAGUUCUUUUUCCUUCACAUCACAGUAAAAGAGUAACCUGAAGGUACUUACCAAAUUUGAUGGGCAUUUCCUUUGGCAGUAGUGUCAAUAUUUUGAAGACUUUUUGCUUUCUUUUAGUUUAACCACUUAGCGCAUUGGUUUAGUUUUCUUUAGUACCAUAAUGCACUAGACCUUUUCCUCUUAUCUAUCUAGACUUCUCUACUAACAGCUGCAAGCCUUAAUUGUGUAAAGUUAAAAAGAGAAAACCAUAAAGCAUUAGUUUUGCAAGUGCAGAUAACAUACAGGAGAUAACAGCAUUUACCUAUGACUUUCUCCAGCAUAACCUCUUACAGAGUAUACUGAAAAUAUGCAGACAGGCAAUCUGUGUAAGGUUUCUGUGAGUGCUCUGGACAAUAUUUCUGACCAGAUGCUCAGCUGAUUCAAGUUGGCAUUAGUGUGUAGACUACACUUUUAAAUUAUUUCAGUUAUGUGCACUGAACUAAUGGUUAUCUCAAAUUUAAACAAAGUUUAAAGAUGGCCAGAAAUUACAAGCUUUUCUAACCAAGAGCCCAUUUAUUCCUACUUGAGUGAUAGACAUUUUAAAACUGGUUAAAACAGCUAUGCAGCUAGAUGUUUUCCACUGGGCAAACUGAAAAUCCUGGUUCAGAAAGGCUUCCAGCAUAUAUUUAGUCUCUUUGAUGCUCUGUAGAAAGAACUAAUAUGGUACAGAAAAGUUGCAGAAGUUUUCAGGAAAAAAAAUAAUCCCUAUUUAUUCCAGGGAACUCAUAUGGGGAAAAAAGAAGAAUUAGAUUUAUAAUAAAUGUUCAUGUGAACCAUUAAAUUACAAACUUACCAGUGAAAGAAACUGACAAAUAUUUGAAAUGUGCUUUCCAUAGGCAGUAUUUCAAAUUAUGCUACUUUAUUUCAGAAUUUAUCAGUUUGGAGUUAAAAUUUCUAUGUAUCAUAAACAAAAUGUUUAAUGUUACUCCUUAAUAUGAUUCUAUUUUAACUAUGUUAUGAUGAAUACUAAUAGGAAUACCAUGGGUAUUUUGAAAAUUUUUCUCUAUAGAUGUCUGUAUUCCAUAUUUGUAUUGUAACAUCAGGUUAAAUUCAGUUAAAUCCU